rnacentral:rRNA from 1 species
UUAAUGAAACUUCAAAGUCGGCCAAAGGUUGUUGCUGGUGAUUAUUCACAUGUGCACGCCUUUGGUCGCAAAUCCACACACACCUGUGCAUCUAUGACUCGAGGUUGUAAUGACUGAGAGUAACUUUUAUACACUCUUGUAUGUAAUGGAAUGUCUUUUUGUGCUAUAAUGUACAAUAUAAACAACUUUCAACAACGGAUCUCUUGGCUCUCGCAUCGAUGAAGAACGCAGCGAAAUGCGAUAAGUAAUGUGAAUUGCAGAAUUCAGUGAAUCAUCGAAUCUUUGAACGCACCUUGCACCCUUUGGUAUUCCGAAGGGUACGCCCGUUUGAGUGUCAUUGUAAUCUCACUUCUACAACUUUAUUGUUGUUUGAAUGUGGACUUGGAUGUUGCCGUUUUAUCACGGCUCGUCUUAAAUGCCUGAGUGUACCCUGUUUUGCAGCGUAUCCAGUGUAAUAAACAUUUCACUAGAGUUGGUUGAAAGACCACGUUGACUAUAUGGGCUCUAUGCUUCAAACCGUCUGCCAUGUGGACAAUUUCUUGACAAUUUGACCUCAAAUCGGGUGGGACUACCCGCUGAACUUAAGCAUAUCAAUAAGCGGAGGAAAAGAAACUAACAAGGAUUCCCCUAGUAACGGCGAGUGAAGAGGGAAAAGCUCAAAUUUUAAAUCUGGUGUCUUUGACUCCCGAGUUGUAAUCUAGAGAAGUGUUUUCCGUGUCGGACCGUGUACAAGUUCCCUGGAACGGGGCGUCAUAGAGGGUGAGAAUCCCGUAUAUGCCACGGACUACCGAUGCUCUGUGAUACACUCUCAACGAGUCGAGUUGUUUGGGAAUGCAGCUCAAAAUGGGUGGUAAAUUCCAUCUAAAGCUAAAUAUUGGYGAGAGACCGAUAGCGAACAAGUACCGUGAGGGAAAGAUGAAAAGCACUUUGGAAAGAGAGUGAAACAGUACGUGAAAUUGUUGAAAGGGAAGCGUUUGAAGUCAGUCGCAUCUGUUGGGGUUCAGCCUGGCUUUUGCCUGGUGUAUUUCCUUUCCGAUGGGUCAGCAUCAGUUUCGACCGAGGGAAAAAGACAUUUGGAAUGUGGCUGUCUUCGGGCAGUGUUAUAGCCUUGUGUUGUAUGUCUCGGUUGGGACUGAGGAUUGCAGCGCGCCAUAAAUGGCCGGGGGUCGCUCCUCUCGACACGC